CAGGUCCUACGAACAUCAAUGUGAUUUCACAGCCAAGGCAACAAAUCUGAUGAAAUCCGAAAUUUACAUGAAUAUCCAACAAUCCAUUUAUAGAUUUAAUAUCUCAUCCAGCAGCGCAUAGAAGGAAGGUUUUGUUUUGAAUUGGAAGGUCCUGGCCUACCUGAUAAUCCAGAAACGGGAAAAUUAGCAUUACCUUACAUGGUAUACCUAAUUGAGACCACCGUUUCAGCCCAAACAAGGAAAUUUAUCUACAGAAAUACGCGAAGGAGGUUGUUCACUCUGCUAUAAAUUAGUUCCACCAUGAUGCAAUUCCUCUGCACGAACAAUGGAGAAUACCUCGAUGAAAUGGAGUAUCUCGCUCAUCUUCUUUCUCAUCACAACUGGUACGUUGUUGAAGAUGCCAGGAGCAGAUGCAAGGGCACCAGCUCGCUGUCCUCGGAUGAUUGACUGCAGCUCGGUGUGUCAGGGGUUCCCCUACAAGUGCGUUGACGGCGAGUGCAUCUGUGGUAAAGAGGUUCUUCCCCGGUCACCUGCUUCAAUCCAGCUAUAAAUUAGACAACUGAAGCGAUGAUUCCAGAUGGGCAUGAGACAUGCGAAGUAUCUUUACAAUAAUAUUAGUUUUCUGAAGAAAUUGAGCCUUAAUUUGUACUCACUACUAGUUAUCCUCUUCUCUUCUUUAGAUGAGUUGAAAGAAUAAAUUGCGGAAAAAGCAAAACAUCUCUCUUAAUUGGAUGAAUAAUCAAUGCCGUUCAGAGUUCA